GACAAACGCUGGCGGCGUGCUUAACACAUGCAAGUCGAACGAUGAAGCCGGAGCUUGCUCUGGUGAAUUAGUGGCGAACGGGUGAGUAACACGUGAGUAACCUGCCCUUGACUCUGGGAUAACUGCUAGAAAUGGUAGCUAAUACCGGAUACGACCCUCGGAGGCAUCUCCAGGGGGUGGAAAGAAUUUCGGUCAAGGAUGGACUCGCGGCCUAUCAGCUAGUUGGUGAGGUAACGGCUCACCAAGGCGACGACGGGUAGCCGGCCUGAGAGGGUGACCGGCCACACGGGGACUGAGACACGGCCCAGACUCCUACGGGAGGCAGCAGUGGGGAAUAUUGCACAAUGGGCGCAAGCCUGAUGCAGCAACGCCGCGUGAGGGAUGACGGCCUUCGGGUUGUAAACCUCUUUUAGCAGGGAAGAAGCGAAAGUGACGGUACCUGCAGAAAAAGCACCGGCUAACUACGUGCCAGCCGCCGCAGUAA
rnacentral:rRNA from 1 species